rnacentral:lncRNA from 1 species
UGAAAACCCCGACAGCCCGUUUGAUACGCGAGUUUUCCACAGCCCAAUCCCUCCGAGCCCCCUCCGAUACCCCCCUUUCCACGCGGUUUUCAGCCCUCGAGGGGGGACUCGAGGAUUCAGAGGAGUCGCCACCGCCGCCGCCCGACUCCUCCUCAAGACGCCGCCGCCCGCCGCCUUUACGCCGACGUAUCUCCUCCGGCAUACCCCUGGCUGUACGUCCUCACCUCACCUCGCCUCCCCUCACCCCCUUUCCUCUCGUCAUCUAGGUUUCUUCCACCCCCCCGGCCAUGGCUGCUGCCUCGUCCUCCGCAGCAAGCUCGCCAAGUGCGCCGUCUUUGAGGGCAACUAGGCCGUCACCAAGUCCCAUCUCCUCCUCCUCCUCCUCCUAGGCUGCCGUUGGCUUUGCCUAUCUCUCUCCAAGUAGUGGCAGUGGGGCAGUGAUAGUGCUCUGCUUAUCUCUCUGCAGGUAGUGUCCAGACCCAUCUUAGUAUUCGACAGAUUUGAUAUUGAUUGACAUGCCCUUUGGCCGAAUUUUAUUAGAAGUCAAUACGGAUGUACUUAAGCAGAUUUAUUAGAACCCAUGGAUGCUGCAGUUCUUCGGUCUGGAGCAGACAGUUGCUUCAGAGAUCAUUGUCUUUUCCUGAGAAGAAUUGAUGUAUUGAUGCUUUAUUCAGCUAUUCUUGGACCACUACUGUUGUUGCGUCCGUGGUCAUAAACCCAACCUAGUUAUUAUUUCUGGAAAUUGUUUAUACUAAGUAGGCUUGAACCAGAUUGCUGCUGGUACUAAGUACAUUGUUACUUGUUCUUGUCUGUCUGAAACAAAUCUGGAAGGGUACUUAGUACUUGCUUGUUUUUCCCUACAUAGUACAACUUAAUUACACCGCUAGCUAGCUGGUGACUCUACAAGAAAGAAGCAACCAGCAACCACACACAACACAAAAGUUCGACCGACAAACUUAAAGCUCCUGGUAUCUUGUUGCUCACGCCUCAGGUUGCAAGGUGGACGGGCCAUCCCGCAACAACGCUGCGCUGACCCGCAAAAAAUCCCACAAAGAUGCUGCUGGGCUGACCGCAUUUUCUUUGUUACUGUUUCAUGCCAAAUUAAUUAGUUAGUUACUGUUUCAGCUACAUAUAUAGUAUCUUUGUCUGUAUGAUCAAGUAGCACUAGUACCAGUUCAUCUUUGUAUGAUUAGUGCCAUGAUGGAUUCAUAAGAUGAUACAUGUGAUUUAUCUAGUUCAUCUUUGUAUGAAUUAACACUAAUUGUUUCUUUGUUGUACAUAUAUGAUUUAUCUAGUUCAUAUUUGUAUGAAUUAAUGUCCGAUGAGCCAAACUGAAUGUGCUUAUUUCCGAAUAAUGUUCAGUCAGAAAAAAGGAUCUGAUUCGUGAACCAAAACUGAACAACCUACGGUCAUAGGGAAAUUCUUUGCAUAAUAUUCAGGCUUAAAGAGGCCCAACCAAAUUGAAUGUUUUGUUUUCAAAUAAUUUGUUCUUCAAAAUCUGAACAAUCUGAAUAAUUUGUUUUCGGACAACCAACUCGCUAGUUGUUUCAUUUGUUGGUUGGUUGGAUGUAAGAACUCAAGGUGUUGCUUUUGCAAACUGAUUAUCUAUCCAGAAUGUUGCAGUUGUGGUACUACAUGAUCUUACUAAUGCUUUUCUACUCGAUGUGGUUGGUAGUUUCUUGGCAGUAUCACGCAGAUUGGUUCUUAUUUAUGGCAUAUUUUUUUAUCAUAUAUACAUAUAUUAAUUAAUUCACUUCGGCCGUCUUCAUCAUCUAACAAUGUAGUGUGUGUGUGUGUUUGUGUGUGUUGAAAUGCAGAUGGCAGAGAGCCGUGAGAUCUUUCUCAAUUCUGCCGCUGAAGAUGAAGAGAGUGCCGCCAUGUUUCUUCGGAGCGAAAUGGCAGAGUUGCCUUGAGGUAUGUUCUUGCUCCUGUGAUCCAUUUUCAUUCUGCACUUUCCUCAAGCUAAUCUAAGUGACACUGUUCAUAUGAAUCUAAGUGACGCUUGAUUUGUUUCAUGCUGGUAUAUAUCAUGCUCAAUUCUUAUCAUGAUCGUCCCUGCUUAUUUUUGUUUGUUAUAUCUGUUUAUUUCAGUAAAUCUCAUGAUUUAUGUCUGUAUAUAACAAAUGAUUCUUUAGUAAAUAUGGAUACCAAACUGAAUCUUAUUUUUGUGAAUUGUCACACUAGUACUAUGUGUAGUUUUGGGAUGGCAGUACCAUACUGAAACUAUGUACCUAAGCCAUCAUCACUUCAAAACUACUAGCACUCCUGUUAGCUGUGGCACUUCUGGGAUAGCUCCAUAUUUUUUAUUUGUUUAGGGUUUUUUCCGCAUCUAACCCUUGGACCAAUUCAUCUGUUUUUUUAUAGGGACCUGACCUCGCGGAAGACGGAUGACCACUUUGCUGCCACAAGUCGCCUCCACACCGUGUAGCCCGCAAACAUGUCUCGAAGCAUUUGCCAAUCAAAUUUUAUGUUGCAAUGAACCAUUGACCUUCGUUGAUCGAACAUCUUGUAUUUUUCAUUUGGACCAUGGCAUGUAUGCAUGUAACAUUUUCAUUUGAACCGUUGAUAGUACUUGCAACAGAUUAUAUGAGCCUUUGUGUUGUUUUGCGUAAUCUAGUUGCACCAUUGUUGCAAGUACAUUUCUUGUAUGAGCUUUUGAAGCUUUUGAAAUUCUAAAAAUUGCAUCUUUAAUUGUAGUAUACUAAUUUUGUAAAUCCUCUGUAUCAAUCCCUGUGUACCAAAUAGAAGGGGGUAUGUGAGGGGUUUGGCGAUUGGGAGGAUUUGAGAGGAUUGGGUGGAAGAGAGGGAUUCACCAAAUCCUCCCAAAUCCCCUCCUCCCACAACCUCUCAAAUACUCUUCUACCAAACAAGGCCUGAAGGAUCAUAUCCAUUUUUCAAAUACAAGGCUUUGAUGCUGAUUGAACUAAGUGAAACAGCCCCUGCUAAGGUGGUUUUCUCUUAAACCAAGAAUAAGAAUAAUGGAAUGAAGAGUGGGAGAUGUUAGCUUACUCAUUUUCCCCAAGAUGUCUUGGAACGUUAAAUCGCUUCCAAUAAUAUAAGCCAUAUCCAUAGCAUUGCCAAACAAGGAUAGCUCAAAGAGUAAACUUUCUGUGUGCUCCUCAUGUACAACACCAUACACCAUCAAAAGGUCCCACCUGGCUUUCUCAUUUUUAUCUCGAAGGUUCGCCCAAUGAUUUUUUCAUGUUAAAGGCACACACUUCUAAGAUUUAUUAUUUCACACCACAAAGGAUAACCCCAGACUUGUGAACAAAAGGGGUCCAUUUCAAAAAAAACUUGAAAUCAUUUUCCAAAGAAGCUUUGAGAGAACUCUUCUUUCAUAGUUUCUUGCAACCCUGGGAAAUCCAACGAAUGGUGCUUUAAUGAGGUCAUGGAUGUUGGCGGCCAUUUUCCUCUCACUUGCUGAAGUGCAAUUCUAUAUACUCCACUAGACCUUCUAUUUUGCCAAUCCUACUAAGCAAAUGGGUAGGGGAUGCCAUUGUUCAUUUCCUACUUCCACCAUAUGAGAUUAUUAGAACGAAGGACGGUAAAAGCGUGUCCAUUAUUCCAAGGGCCUUGGACAAUAGUGUUUCAUUUUCCCACUAUAGCCCACCCCUUCGGUUUUGCAUCAAUGCAAUUUAUUCUCAGACGUUAUAGAUGGAACUAAAACGACGGAAAUGACGCGAGGGAGGGGGUUUGCUUAUUGACCAAUGAUCUCGCCAUCCCAGACUGUGUGAGGGAAUGAGACUACAUGCACGCAAUAACUACAACAUUUGAGUGUAACAUGCGCGCUAAUCUACCCAAGUUCAUUGAUGGUUGGCAUGUCCGAUAGUCUUGCGUUGUUAGAGUUAUUCCUAUUUUGGUGCCAGAAUUUCGGCCUGGCGGGCUUUUAAUUCCAGACGGAGGAAGUGGGUCUCCUUGACUUCAAGUUACAUGUUUAGAAGCCAAACCCACUUUCUUAUCCCUCGUUCUUCCUUAUCUAAUCUAUAUCUAUACCUACUAUUAAAGGGAUUAGUGUUGGAAAUAUGCCCUAGAGGCAAUAAUAAAUUAGUUAUUAUUAUAUUUCCUUGUUCAUGAUAAUCGUUUAUUAUCCAUGCUAUAAUUGUAUUGAUAGGAAACUCAGAUACAUGUGUGGAUACAUAGACAACACCAUGUCCCUAGUAAGCCUCUAAUUGACUAGCUCGUUGAUCAAUAGAUGGUUAUGGUUUCCUGACCAUGGACAUUGGAUGUCAUUUAUAACGGGAUCACAUCAUUAGGAGAAUGAUGUGAUGGACAAGACCCAAUCCUAAGCCUAGCACAAAGAUCGUAGUUCGUAUGCUAAAGCUUUUCUAAUGUCAAGUAUCUUUUCCUUAGACCAUGAGAUUGUGCAACUCCUGGAUACCGUAGGAAUGCUUUGGGUGUACCAAAUGUCACAACGUAACUGGGUGGCUAUAAAGGUGCACUACAGGUAUCUCCGAAAGUGUUUGUUGGGUUGGCACGAAUCUAGACUGGGAUUUGUCACUCCGUGUAAACGGAGAGGUAUCUCUGGGCCCACUCGGUAGGACAUCAUCAUAAUGUGCACAAUGUGACCAAGGGGUUGAUCACGGGAUGAUGUGUUACGCAACGAGUAAAGAGACUUGCCGGUAACGAGAUUGAACAAGGUAUCGGUAUACCGACGAUCGAAUCUUGGGCAAGUACAAUACCGUUAGACAAAGGGAAUUCUAUACGGGAUCGAUUGAGUCCUUGACAUCGUGGUUCAUCCGAUGAGAUCAUCGUGGAACAUGUGGGAGCCAACAUGGGUAUCCAGAUCCCGCUGUUGGUUAUUGACCAGAGAACGUCUCGGUCAUGUCUGCAUGGUUCCCGAACCCGUAGGGUCUACACACUUAAGGUUCGAUGAUGCUAGGGUUAUAAAGGAAGUUUGUAUGUGGUUACCGAAUGUUGUUCGGAGUCCCGGAUGAGAUCCCGGACGUCACGAGGAGUUCCGAAUGGUCCGGAGGUAAAGAUUGAUAUAUGGGAAGUCCUGUUUUGGUCAUCGGAAAAGUUUCGGGUUUUGUCGGUAACGUACCGGGACCACCGGGAGGGUCCCGGGGGUCCACCAAGUGGGGCCACCACCCUCGGAGGGCUGCAUGGGCCAAGUGUGGGAGGGGACCAGCCCCAGGUGGGCUGGUGCGCCCCCCCCCCCCCACAAGGGCCCAAGGCGCCUAGGGUUUGGGGAGGGGGCGCCCCACCUUGCUUGGNNNNNNNNNNNNNNNNNNNNNNNNNNNNNNNNNNNNNNNNNNNNNNNNNNNNNNNNNNNNNNNNNNNNNNNNNNNNNNNNNNNNNNNNNNNNNNNNNNNNNNNNNNNNNNNNNNNNNNNNNNNNNNNNNNNNNNNNNNNNNNNNNNNNNNNNNNNNNNNNNNNNNNNNNNNNNNNNNNNNNNNNNNNNNNNNNNNNNNNNNNNNNNNNNNNNNNNNNNNNNNNNNNNNNNNNNNNNNNNNNNNNNNNNNNNNNNNNNNNNNNNNNNNNNNNNNNNNNNNNNNNNNNNNNNNNNNNNNNNNNNNNNNNNNNNNNNNNNNNNNNNNNNNNNNNNNNNNNNNNNNNNNNNNNNNNNNNNNNNNNNNNNNNNNNNGCAGCCCAAGACAUGAGUUUCUUCUCCUGUUGGCGCAACCCUACCUCUCUUUCUCCUCAUAUCUCGCGGUGCUUGGCGAAGCCCUGCUGGACUACCACGCUCCUCCAUCACCACCACGCCGUUGUGCUGCUGCUGGAUGGAGUCUUCCUCAACCUCUCCCUCUCACCUUGCUGGAUCAAGGCAUGGGAGACGUCACCGGGCUGUACGUGUGUUGAACGCGGAGGUGCCGUCCGUUCGGCACUAGGAUCUUCGGUGAUUUGGAUCACGACGAGUACGACUCCCUCAACCCCGUUCUCUUGAACGCUUCCGCUUAGCGAUCUACAAGGGUAUGUAGAUGCACUCUCCUUCCCCUCGUUGCUGGUUUCUCCAUAGAUAGAUCUUGGUGACACGUAGGAAAAUUUUGAAUUUCUGCUACGUUCCCCAACAGUGGUAUCAAAGCUAGGUCUAUUGCGUAGAUUCUUUGCACGAGUAGAACACAAAGUAGUUGUGGGCGUUGAUUUUGUUCAAUAUGCUUACCGUUACUAGUCCAAUCUUGUUUCGACAAUAUUGUGGGAUGAAGCGGCCCGGACCGACCUUACACGUACUCUUACGUGAGACAGGUUCCACCGACUGACAUGCACUUGGUGCAUAAGGUGGCUAGCGAGUGCCAGUCUCUCACACUUUAGUCGGAACAGAUUCGAUGAAAAGGGUCCUUAUAAAGGGUAAAUAGCAAUUGGCAUAUCACGUUGUGGUUUUGUGUAGGUAAGAAACGUUCUUGCUAGAAACCCAUAGCAGCCACGUAAAACAUGCAAACAACAAUUAGAGGACGUCUAACUUGUUUUUGCAGGGUAUGCUAUGUGAUGUGAUAUGGCCAAGAAGAAUGUGAUGAAUGAUAUGUGAUGUAUGAGAUUGAUCAUGUUCUUGUAAUAGGAAUCACGACUUGCAUGUCGAUGAGUAUGACAACCGGCAGGAGCCAUAUGAGUUGUCUUUAUUUAUUGUAUGACCUGCGUGUCAUUGAACAACGCCAUGUAAUUACUUUACUUUAUUGCUAACCGGUAGCCAUAGUAGUAGAGGUAAUAGUUGGCGAGACAACUUCAUGAAGACACGAUGAUGGAGAUCAUGAUGAUGGAGAUCAUGGUGUCAUGCCGGUGACGAUGAUGAUCAUGGAGCCCCGAAGAUGGAGAUCAAAAGGAGCAAAAUGAUAUUGGCCAUAUCAUGUCACUAUUUGAUUGCAUGUGAUGUUUAUCAUGUUUAUGCAUCAUAUUUGCUUAGAACGAUGGUAGUAAAUAAGAUGAUCCCUCAUUAAAAUUUCAAGAAAGUGUUCCCCCUAACUGUGCACCGUUGCGAAAGUUCGUCGUUUCGAAGCACCACGUGAUGAUCGGGUGUGAUAGAUUCUUACGUUCACAUACAACGGGUGUAAGCCAGAUUUACACACGCGAAACACUUAGGUUGACUUGACGAGCCUAGCAUGUACAGACAUGGCCUCGGAACACAAGAGACCGAAAGGUCGAGCAUGAGUCGUAUGGUGGAUACGAUCAACAUGAAGAUGUUCACCGAUGAUGACUAGUCCGUCUCACGUGAUGAUCGGACAUGGCCUAGUUGACUCGGAUCAUGUAAUCACUUAGAUGACUAGAGGGAUGUCUAUCUGAGUGGGAGUUCAUAAGAUGAACUUAAUUAUCCUGAACAUAAUCAAAAGAUCUUUGCAAAUUAUGUCGUAAGCUCGCGCUUUAGUUCCACUAUUUAGAUAUGUUCCUAGAGAAAAUAUAGUUAAAAGUUGACAAUAGCGAUUAUGCGGACAGUAGAAAGCUUAUGUCCUUAAUGCACCGCUCAGUGUGCUGAACCCCAAACGUCGUUUGUGGAUGUUGCGAACAUCGGACAUACAUGUUUUGAUAACUACGUGAUAGUUCGGUUAAACGGUUUAGAGUUGAGGCACCAAAGACAUUUUCGAAACGUCGCGGAACAUAUGAGAUGUUUCGAGGGCUGAAAUUGGGAUUUCAUGCUUGUGCCCACGUCAAGAGGUAUGAGGCCUCCGACGAGUUUCUUAGCCUGCAAACUAAGGGAGAAAAAGUUCAAACGUUGAGCUUGUGCUCAGAUUGUCUGAGUGCAACAAUCACUUGAAUCGAGUGGGAGUUGAUCUUCCAGAUGAGAUUGUGAUGUUUCUCCAAAAGUCACUGCCACCAAGCUGCUAGAGCUUCGUGAUGAACUAUAACAUAUCAGGGAUAGAUAUGAUGAUCCUUGAAGUAUUCGCAAUGUUGGACACCGCGAAAGUAGAAAUCAAGUAGGAGCAUCAAUUGUUGAUGGUUGGUGAAACCACUAGUUUCAAGAUGGGCAAGGGCAAGAAGGGAUACUCCAUGAAAUGGCAAAUCAGCUGCUGCUCUAGUGAAGAAACCCAAGGUUGAACCCAAACCCGAGACUAAGUGCUUCUGUAAUAAGGGGAACAACCACUGGAGCAGCAUUACCCUAGAUACUUGGUAGAUGAGAAGGCUGGCAAGGUCGAUAGAAGUAUAUUGGAUAUACAUUAUGUUAAUGUGUACUUUACUAGUACUCCUAGUAGCACCUGGGUAUUAAGAUACCGGUUCGGUCGCUAAGUGUUAGUAACUCGAAAUAAAAGAGCUACGGAAUAAACGGAGACUAGCUAAAGGUGAGCUGACGGUAUAUGUUGGAAGUGUUUCCAAGUUUGAUGUGAUCAAACAUCGCACGCUCCCUCUACCAUCAAGAUUAGUAUUAAACCUGAAUAAUUGUCAUUUGGUGUUUGCGUUGAGCAUAGACAUGAUUGGAUUAUGUCUAUCACAAUACGGUUAUUCAUUUAAGGAGAAUAAUGGUUACUCUAUUUAUUUGAAUAAUACCUUCAAUGGUCUUGCACCUAAAGGAAUUGUUUAUUGAAUCUCGAUCGUAGUGAUACACAUUUUCAUGCCAAAAGAUAUAAGAUAGUAAUGAUAGUACCACUUACUUGUGGCACUGCCAUGUAAGUCAUAUUGGUAUAAAACGCAUGAAGAAGCUCCAUGUUGAUGGAUCUUUGGACUCACUCGUUUUUGAAAAGUUUGAAACAUGUGAACCAUGUCUAUUGGUGUAUACGCAUGAAGAAACUCCAUGCAGAUGGAUCGUUUGGACUCACUUGAUUUUGAAUCACUUGAGAUAUGCAAAUCAUACCACAUGGGCAAGAUGACUAAAAAGCCUCGUUUUUCAGUAAAAUGGAACAAGAUAGCAACUUGUUGGAAGUAACACAUUUUGAUGUGUGCAGUCCAAUGAGUGCUGAGGCAUGCAGUGAAUAUCGUUAUGUUCUUUCUUCACAGAUGAUUCGAGUAGAUGUUGAGUAUAUUUACUUGAUGAAACACAAGUUUGAAUUAUUGAAUGGUUCAAGUAAUUUCAGAGUGAAGUUGAAGAUCAUCGUGACAAGAGGAUAAAAUGUCUAUGAUGUGAUCAUAGAGAUGAGGAUCUGAGUUACGAGCUUUGGCACGCAAUUAAGACAUUGUGGAAAUUGUUUCACAAUUAAUACCGCCUGGAACACCAUAGUGUGAUGGUGUGUCCGAGCAUCAUAGUUGCACCCUAUUGGAUAUGGUGCGUACCAUGAUGUCUCUUAUCGAAUUACCACUAUCGUUCAUGGGUUAGGUAUUAGAGACAACCGCACUCACUUUAAUAGGGUACCACGUAAUUCCGUUGAGACGACACCGUUUGGAGAAACCUAAGUUGUCGUUUCUUAAAGGUUUGGGGCUGCGAUGCUUAUGUGAAAAAGUUUUAGGUUGAUAAGCUUGAACCCAAAGCGGAUAAAAUGCAUCUUCAUAGGACACCCAAAAUAGUUGGGUAUACCUCCUAAUUCAGAUCCGGAAGCAAAAGUGAUUGUUUCUAGAAACGGGUCCUUUCUCGAGGAAAAGUUUCUCUCGAAAGAAUUGAGUGGGAGGAUGGUGGAGACUUGAUGAGGUUAUUGAACCAUCACUUCAACAAGUGUGUAGCAGGGCACAGGAAGUUGUUCAUGUGGCACCUACACCAAUUGAAGCGGAAGCUUAUGAUAGUGAUCAUGAUGCUUCGGAUCAAGUCACUACCGAACCUCAUAGGUUGACAAGGAUGCGUACUACUUCAGAGUGGUACAGUAAUCCUGUCUUGAAGGUCAUGUUGCUAGACAACAAUGAACCUACGAGCUAUGGAGAAGCGAUGGUGGGCCCAUAUUCCGACAAAUGGUUAGAAGCCAUGAAAUCCAAGAUAGGAUCCAUGUAUCAUAACAAAGCAUGGACUUUGGUGGACUUGCCCGAUGAUCGGCAAGCCAUUGAGAUAAAUGGAUCUUUAAGAAGAAGACGGACGUGGACGGUAAUGUCACCGUCUAUGAAGCUCGACUUGUGGCGAAGAGUUUUUUCACAAGUUCAAGGAGUUGACUACGAUGAGGUUUUCUCAUCCAUAGCGAUGCUUAAGUCCGUCAGAAUCAUGUUAGCAUUAACUGCAUUUAAGAAAUCUGGCAGAUGGAUGUCAAAACGAGUUUCCUUACCAGUUUUCGUAAGGAAAGGUUGUAUGUGAUACAAUCAGAAAGGUUUUGUCGAUCCUAAGGAUGCUAAAAGGUAUGCUAGCUCCAGUGAUCCUUCCAUGGACUGGAGUAAGCAUCUCGGAGUUGGAAUAUACACUUUGAUAAGAUGAUCAAAGAUUUUAGGUUUAUACAAAGUUUAUGAGAAACUUGUAUUUCCAAAGAAGUGAGUGGGAGCACUAUAGAAUUUCUGAUGAGUAUAUGUUGUUGACAUAUUGAUGAUCAGAAAUGAUGUAGAAUUUUCUGUAAAACAUAUAGGGUUAUUUGAAAAGUGUUUUUCAAGUGAAAACCUGGAUUAAGCUGCUUGAACAUUGAGCAUCAAGAUCUAUGAGGAUAGAUCAAAAACCGCUUAAUGGUACUUUCAAAUGAGCAUCUACCUUGACAUGAUCUUGAAGGUGUUCAAGAUGGAUCAGUCAAAGAAGGAGUUCUUGCCUGAGAUGUAAGGUACGAAGUUAAGACUUAAAGCUCGACCACGGCAGAAGAGAGAGAAAGGACGAAGGUCGUCUCCUAUGCUUUAAACGUAGGCUCUACAAUAGGCUAUGUUGUGUACCGCACCUGAUGUGCGCCUUGCUACAUAUUUGGCAAGAGAGUACAAAGGUGAUCAAGGAGUAGAUACCAGAUAGCGGUCAAAAUUGUCCUUGGAGUAAUAAGGACAUGUUUCUCGAUUAUGGAGGUGAUAAAGAGUUCGGCGUAAAGGGUUACGUUGAUGCAAGCUUUAACACCUAUCCGAAUGACUCUGAGUAGCAAACCGGAUACGUAUAGUGGAGCAACCAUUUGGAAUAGCUCCAAGUGGAGAGUGGUAGCAGCAUUUACAAUAUGACCUAGAGAUUUGCAAAGUACAUACGGAUCUGAAUGUUGCAGACCCAUUGACUAAAACCUCUCUCAAGCAAAACAUGAUCAAACCCCAGAACUCAUUGAGUCUUAAUCACAUGAUGAUGUGAACUAGUUUAAUGACACUAGUAAACUCUUUGGAUGUUGGUCACAUGGCGAUGUGACCUGUGAGUGUUAAUCACAUGGCGAUGUGAACUAGAUUAUUGACUCUAGUGCAAGUGGGACACUGUUGGAAAUAUGCCCUAGAGGCAAUAAUAAAUUAGUUAUUAUUAUAUUUCCUUGUUCAUGAUAAUCAUUUAUUAUCCAUGCUAUAAUUGUAUUGAUAGGAAACUCAGAUACACGUGUGGAUACAUAGACAACACCAUGUCCCUAGUAAGCCUCUAAUUGACUAGCUCGUUGAUCAAUAGAUGGUUACGGUUUCCUGACCAUGGACAUUGGAUGUCAUUGAUAACGGGAUCACAUCAUUAGGAGAAUGAUGUGAUGGACAAGACCCAAUCCUAAGCCUAGCACAAAGAUCGUAGUUCGUAUGCUAAAGCUUUUCUAAUGUCAAGUAUCUUUUCCUUAGACCAUGAGAUUGUGCAACUCCCGGAUACCGUAGGAAUGCUUUGGGUGUACCAAAUGUCACAAUGUAACUGGGUGGCUAUAAAGGUGCACUACAGGUAUCUCCGAAAGUGUUUGUUGGGUUGGCACGAAUCGAGACUGGGAUUUGUCACUCCGUGUAAACGGAGAGGUAUCUCUGGGCCCACUCGGUAGGACAUCAUCAUAAUGUGCACAAUGUUACCAAGGGGUUGAUCACGGGAUGAUGUGUUAAGGAACGAGUAAAGAGACUUGCCGGUAACGAGAUUGAACAAGGUAUCGGUAUACCGACGAUCAAAUCUCAGGCAAGUACAAUACCGUUAGACAAAGGGAAUUGUAUACGGGAUCGAUUGAGUCCUUGACAUCGUGGUUCAUCCGAUGAGAUCAUCGUGGAACAUGUGGGAGCCAACAUGGGUAUCCAGAUCCCGCUGUUGGUUAUUGACCAGAGAACGUCUCGGUCAUGUCUGCAUGGUUCCCGAACCCGUAGGGUCUACACACUUAAGGUUCGAUGACGCUAGGGUUAUAAAGGAAGUUUUUAUGUGGUUACGGAAUGUUGUUCGGAGUCCUGGAUGAGAUCUUGGACGUCAUGAGGAGUUCCGGAAUGGUCCGGAGGUAAAGAUUUAUAUAUGGGAAGUCCUGUUUUGGUCACCGGAAAAGUUUCGGGUUUUAUCGGUAACGUACCGGGACCACCGGGAGGGUCCCGGGGGUCCACCAAGUGGGGCCACCACCCUCGGAGGGCUGCAUGGGCCAAGUGUGGGAGGGGACCAGCCCCAGGUGGGCUGGUGCGCCCCCUGUCGGUGUCAAAACCAGCGGAUCUCGGGUAGGGGGUCCCGAACUGUGCGUCUAGGCGGAUGGUAACAGGAGACAAGGGACACGAUGUUUUACCCAGGUUCGGGCCCUCUUGAUGGAGGUAAAACCCUACGUCCUGCUUGAUUGAUAUUGAUAAUGUGGGUAUUACAAGAGUAGAUCUACCACGAGAUCAAGGAGGCUAAACCCUAGAAGCUAGCCUAUGGUAUGAUUGUUGUAAUGGUUGUUGUUGUGUCCUACAGACUAAAGCCAUCUGGUUUAUAUAGACACCGGAGAGGGCUACGGUUACAUAGAGUCGGUUACAAUGGUAGGAGAUCUACAUAUCCGUAUCGCCAAGCUUGCCUUCCACGCCAAGGAAAGUCCCAUCCGGACACGGGACGAAGUCUUCAAUCUUGUAUCUUCAUAGUCUUGGAGUCCGGCUGACGAUGAUAGUCCGGCCGAUGAUGGUAGUCCGGCUAUCCGGACACCCCCUAGUCCAGGACUCCCUCAGUAGCCCCUGAACCAGGCUUCAAUGACGAUGAGUCCGGCGCGCAUAUUGUUCGGCAUUGCAAGGCGGGUUCCUCCUCCAAAUAAUUCAUAGAAGAUUGUGAACACCAGGAUAGUGUCCGGCUCUGCAAAAUAAAUUCCACAUUCCACCGUAGAGAGAAUAAUAUAUACACAAGUUCAAUCUGCUGACGUUUUUUGUGGCAUGACGUCACACCACUACCAAGCCCUUACUUGAAUCGUUUUUUACUUUACCACCUCAGCGCAUUAAGCGAAGCGGUUUCCUUGGCACGUCUUGUCGAAGCAGAGAUCGUGUUCCCCCUUAUUCCGGGAUUCUCAUCAAUACGGACGUGGGUAACCCAACCGCGCCAUUGAUGGUGGCGCUUGGGAGAUAAGCGAGUUUUACCAGGCCGGUGGGGAUGCAUAGUUUUCGUCCGCCCAUAUAUAAGGGGAUUAGGAUCCACCCUUUCACCUACGCCUUCUUCCUCCUUUGCUUAUCCAUCUCCGCGCACUCGAGCUCCAGCGCCCAAGCCCGCACAUCUCGUCUCAACCUUUCCCAGUCAUGUCUGGAGCGGGAGGCAAGUGGAUGACCUCCUCCGUUACGGAGGGGCACAUCGAAAGACUGCGCAGCGCCGGAUAUCUACCCGGCGACAUCGCGCACCGGCUCCCGACGAGGGGCAGCUCAUCCCCACCCCCAGGCCCCAUGAGAGGGUCGUAUUCCUUCCCCACUUCCUCCGCGGACUGGGCCCAUUGCAUCCCUUUGUCCGGGGUCUCAUGUACUAUUACGGCCUGGAUUUCCAUGAUCUGGCGCCAAACUUCAUCCUCAACAUCUCGGCGUUUAUCGUCGUGUGCGAGGCCUUCCUCUGCAUCCAGCCUCACUUCGGCUUGUGGCUCAAGACCUUCAAUGUCAAGCCGAAGGUGGUGAAGGGCACUCAAGCGGAGUGCGGAGGCGCCAUGUUGGGUAAGAUACCCAACGUCGUCUGGCUCGAGGGUGCCUUCGUGGAAACCAUCAAGGGAUGGCAAUCGGGGUGGUUCUACAUCACCGAGCCGCGUGAACCUAGAUGGGUAGCGGCCCCCGAAUUUAGAUCUGGGAUCCCCAUGCGGCUCUCCUCUUGGAAGGAGAGCGGCCUGACCUGGGGUAAUUCGGAGGAGCUGAUCGGACUCCAAGCCUGUAUCCAGAGGCUGGUGAACAAGAAGCUCAAGCUUGUCAACAUGGUCCAGGUCAUGCUCAUCCGCCGGAUUCUCCUAUGCCAAGAACGGGCAUUUACAUUGUGGGAGUUUAAUCCGGCACAACACCAGACCUUGAGCAGGCCCUUCGACACUAGGUACGAAGAUGCCUGGAAAGUGCUCUUCAAGGGCGCCGAAGCCCCCGCAUCCGCCACCGAAGAUCGCGGAUUUCGCUCGCAGCGUCAAGCUGACGAGGUAAGUGAUUCUACCCCUUUAUGGGACACUUGGUAUUCAUAGUUUGACUCUAUGCGGGUUUCAAUUUCCCCUUUUCCUUUGACAGGACUGGAUGAGGAAGGCGGAGUAGAUCAUCUGUCCGGCUCCUAUGCCAGAAAACCCAGUAGACGCCCGUCUAGCGGGGCUGCUGGUUCCGGCACCACACGUGGUGCCGGAGAAGAAGGCCAAGAAAGAGGCCAGGGUACUCGAAAGAGUUCCCGUUUUCAGGUGUCCGACGACAACGAGGCGGACUCCUCCCCCGAAAACGAGGAGGAGAAAGAGGACUCUCUCCCGGAGGAGGGAGAGAGGAAGAGGAAGGCUUCCCCAACAGGGAAGGCCGAAGGGUCCAAGAGGGGAAGGACUAUUCCCCCGGACAGCUCCACCAACGUCAACGUUGGCGAUGAAGAAUGGCCCUCAAGGGCUAGGCCUCCGGCGAGAUCGUAAGUAUCCGGAUUCCUGAAUAAUUUACAAUUUCUCUUUUGUGUCACAUAGUGUCAUUCUAAUGCCGCACGCUGCCUGUAGUCCGGCCAAUGAUGAUCUCCCCGCUUCAUCGAGCGGGUCGUUGGCUCCGUCGGAUGUAGACUCCAUCCCGACCGCCUCCACCCCUCGCGACACUGAGGACGCCGAGGUGGGAUCCCAAGAAGGGACCCAUCAGGGGGAGGCUCCGGAGGCGCCACAAGGCGGCCUCCCGGACUUUGCGCCGGACUCCAUGUUGGAACCCGCAGUGGUUCCGGAGUCCGGCCGGCGGCCCCUUCGCAAUAAGGGCAAGACCGUGACGCCGGCGGCCUCCGUACAACCGGAGGUGCCGGACAACUUGUUGGCGGCGCUCAAAGGCGCUUCCAUCAAGGAAGAACACCGCACUAUUAUGAGUGCGGUGAUUCAGAAGGUACAACUCGCCAAGAGCGGGCUGACCGAAGCCUGCAGUAGCCUUCUAUCAGGCUUUGAGGUAAGAAGUUAAAAUAUGCAAUGUAAUACCGCAUAGACAGUAGCCCCUGAUGCUCGGUUCGGUGUUCGGAAAGAAAAGCCGGACUGAGGAUCUAAAAAAAGUUAUACGCAGGGUUGCUAAAAAAUUAUGUCAACAUGGGUUUGCAGGCUGCGCUGCUGACCUCUGCAGCACUGACUGCGGAGGUCGGAGCUUUGAAGCAGGAGCUCGAACGGUCCGAGCAAGAGCUCGGCCGUGCCAAGAAGCAGCUCGAGGACAAAGAAGGUGAGUAACACCACUUUGAAUUAUUACCUUACAAAAAAGGAUUUAGGUUGCGAUAAAAAUAACAAGGAUAACGUGGGUACUACAGGGGCCACGAACGAGGUGACAACCCUGAAGGAGGCCAUGUCCGUGGCCGAACGCAAUGCGGCCGCGGAACGGGUAGAGCGAGAAAAGCAGGAGGCGCGGGUGGCGGAGGUUCGGCAAGAGCUCCAGGCUCUCAUGGAAAAGCAUGAGAGUUUGGAGCAUGACUCAAAGACUCGAGAGUCCGAGCUUGCCUCGGCUCUCGAAAGUGCCAAAGCCGCCAAGGUCGAGGCCCAUAAGUCCCUUUAGGAGAUUGAGUCGGUGAAGAAGAUAGCGGCGGGUAAGGCAUUUUUCAUGCAAAGCAAGCAUGUGAAUGUAAAUUACGUGUUACUUACCCGAAUUCGGAGCUCUCCAGGGGCGUUUGCAGACCUGCCUCGCAGCGUGUCUGAUGCCGCCGCAUUCUACCGAGCCGAGGAGGGGAGCUCAACGGAGAAGGUCUUCUGGUCUCAGUAUGCUGAGGCCGGCCAUCCGGUGCCCCCUAGCGACCAGUUGAAGCAGCUGGUCGAGCUCCACAAGGUAGCCGAGCAGGCCAUGAAGGGCCUCAUAGUCCGGUUGUGGCCUGGAGAGGCCAUGCCUGGGAGCUACUUCAGCCUCGUGCGGCGGUUGGUGGAUGCGUGCCCCUGGGUGGAGGUUAUCAAGCGCUCCGCCUGUAUUGAAGGUGCUCGUCGGGCCCUUGCCCGCGCAAAGGUGCAUUGGGGCAAGCUGGAUGCGGAGAAGCUUAUCACUGACGCGCCACCAAUGGGCAAGGAGUAUCGUACGCCCGAGAUGUACUAUAAGACUGUCCUGAAGGGUGCCCGCAAGAUUGCGGAUGAGUGCCCCAGGGAUGUAAUUAUUGAGUAAAUUCGCAAUGUGUUAUCCUGUGCGCUGAAAACUUUGUUCAUAUGCGCUAAGCAACACUUAUUAAUUUAAAAUAUUACCUUCUGUGCGGCCGUUUAUUAAAUCUGAGAGAUGGCAAGUCGUCGGCUUCAGCCCCCAUGCCACGAGUGCUGGGGUGUUCGGGAUAAACUUGAGCACUCUUGUUCCCAUUUUUGGGUCCAUUUAGGGAGGCGCUCAACACAACAAACAAGGCAACCGGACUUAUAAUGCUUGAACACUCUCACUUAGCCAUAGAAUUCUAUAAUUUUAAAUUUCGGCGAAGCCCCUAGUAUUCGGAAGACCGAGUUCGGGGCGCUAUCCACGCCUUGGCCGGACAUUAUCCGGUUCUUCGCUCGAAGCGGCAUAAGUCUUUAGGGACUCGAAAAGACCUCUCGAACAGCGACCGGUCUCUCGCCUUAUCAUGACAGUCAGUUUUAGCUUUCUCCACUGAGGCGUUAACCCGGCUCAACCGGGGCGCAAUCGCAAUGGUUCUCCCAGUGCUACCGUAGCCGACAGAACGGAACGUAAGGUGCCAAACAUGGGAGCCGGGCAAACCCAACUAUUGACCCAAGACAUGAUUCGGAGCCGAUUCAUAUAAUGCUAUAAGUUCGGGGUGCCGCACUUGUGAAAGUGUGCGGACUUAUCACACCAUAAUGCGGGGAACAUAAGCCCCUGGUGUAUUCGGCCGGACCAAAAUAUACGGAUGCAACAUGUCGUAAAUGAACAUAUAUAUAAAGUAAUGCAAUUAUAGGCAAAAAAUGUUGCAUUAUUUAUUCAAGAAAUUCUGCUAUGAGUGCGGAAUGAUACAAAUAGUGCGGUAAGCAAGGGAUUGGACUAAUGAAAUGUGUCUCCCUCCAGGGGUAGGCUGCGGAAUUGUAUAUUUAACAAAUUUAAUGCUCGUAAUGGAGACAACCUGAGUGUUCGUCGCAGCCUUUGUCCCUCCCUUGCUGUUGUAUCAUGAGUUCGGCAGGUUCGCCGCCAGACAGAGUCCUGUGUAAAAAAGAAGAAAAAUAAAAAAUAAAAAGAGCGACACACUUGGGAGCCCCUGGUGUGGUCGAACCGCACUCUGGGUCUGUUGUGGUCGUGCCCCUCCCCUAUGCCCAUGGUAUCUCCAGAGCGUAAUGAUGUACGCGGAGAGUUUGUCUUGCGAUCGUGCGAGGGUUGGGGUUGGGGCCGCAUUUCUACGCGUGCUCGGAACGUGCCAGGUGGUCUUGGUUGAUGUUGCUCCGGGCAUGUUUGGCCGUGUCCGGUCGUUUAACGACCGGACUCGAAAAUUGCCUUAGAAGGCUGCUCUGUACUUCUGCCGCGAGAGCCGCUGUAUGUUCCUCCAUUCGGAGGGAGCGUCCCGUAUUUCCGUUGACCGUGAUGACUCCACGAGGGCCUGGCAUCUUGAGCUUGAGGUAUGCAUAAUGCGGCACCGCGUUGAACUUUGCGAACGCGGUUCGUCCGAGCAGAGCGUGAUAGCCACUGCGGAACAGGACUAUGUCGAAGAUUAACUCCUCGCUUCGGAAAUUAUCCGGGGAUCCGAAGACCACUUCCAGUGUGACUGAGCCUGUACAAUUGGCCUCAACACCUGGUAUGACGCCCUUGAAGGUUGUCUUUGUAGGUUUAAUUCCCGAAGGGUCUAUGCCCAUCUUGCGCACUGUAUCCUGAUAAAGCAGGUUCAGGCUACUGCCGCCGUCCAUCAGGACUCUCGUGAGGUGAAAUCCAUCGACAAUUGGGUCUAAAACCAAUGCGGCGAAUCCGCCAUGGCGGAUACUGGUCGGGUGGUCUCUUCGAUCGAAAGUGAUCGGGCAAGAGGACCAUGGGUUGAACUUUGGGGCGACUGGCUCCAUCGCAUAUACGUCCCUUAGUGCACGCUUCCGCUCCCUCUUGGGUAUAUGCGUUGCGUAUAUCAUGUUUACCGUCCGAACUUGUGGGGGGAAGCCCUUAUGUCCUCUAUUGUUCGGCGGUGGGGUCUCUUCCUCGUCAUCGCUGUGUAGCCCCUUGUCAUUGUUUUCGGCAAUUAAUUUGCCUGCCUGCUUGAAUACCCAACACUCUUUGUUGGUGUGGUUAGCUGGCUUUUCGGGGGUGGCAUGUAUUUGGCAAGAGCGGUCGAGUAUUCGGUCCAAAUUGGACGGGCCCGGAGUGGUUCUUUUAAAUGGAUUCUUCCGUUGACUGGGUUUGGAGCCUCGGAAUCCGACAUUGACUGCGGUAUCCCCAUUGUUGUCGCCGUUAAUGCGGCAUUUGUUUUUGUUUCGACGCGACCUACCAUUGCGGUCCUUGGUAUCCGGACUGCCAGCAUUUUUACUGAGGUUGUUGCUGCGAGCUAGCCAGCUAUCCUCUCCCGCACAGAAGCGGGUCAUGAGUGAUGUGAGGGCUGCCAUGGAUUUCGGCUUUUCCUGUCCUAGGUGCCGGGCCAGCCACUCGUCGCGGAUGUUAUGUUUGAAGGCAGCGAGGGCCUCUGCAUCCGGACAGUCGACGAUUUGAUUUUUCUUUGUUAAGAACCGUGUCCAGAAUUGUCUGGCCGAUUCAUCUGGCUGCUGGAUUAUGUGGCUUAGGUCAUCUGCGUCUGGUGGUCGCACAUAUGUGCCCUGGAAGUUGUCGAGGAAUGCGGCUUCUAGGUCCUCCCAACACCCAAUUGACUCUGCGGGCAGGCUGUUGAGCCAAUGCCGAGCCGGUCCUUUAAGCUUGAGCGGGAGAUAUUUGAUGGCGUGAAGAUCGUCGCCGCGGGCCAUAUGGAUAUGAAGGAGAUAAUCCUCGAUCCAAACCGCGGGGUCUGUUGUGCCAUCGUAGGAUUCGAUGUUAACGGGUUUAAACCCUUCAGGGAUUUGACGAUCCAUUACUUCGUCAGUGAAGCAUAGUGGGUGUGCGGCGCCUCUGUAUUGAGCAAUAUCACGACAUAGCUCAAGAGAGUGUUGUCUGCUGUGUUCGGCCUGGCCGGAGUUAUUGCAUCCGGUGCGACGGUAUUCGUCGUGGGUCUUGGGGCGCCCACGUGAUCCAUAGAUAGAUUUGGAUUGUCUUGCCUUGUCCUCCAAUAUAUCCCGCAAGUCCGGCGCGUUCCCCCGUGGCUUAGUACUUUUUGAGCGGUGCCGGGGUACGGUCUUGGUGGAGGGCUUACAUGCCUCUCUGUCGCGGCCACGAGGUGGUCGGUCUGCCGUAUUGUGCGCUGGUGAUGAAGGUUUGUAUGCUUCCUCCUCUACUCGGGGGAGCAACUUGCGUUUUGGGUAGCUUUUGGAGGGGCGUUCUAGUUCAUACUCUUCGGCCGCGAGGACCUCGGUCCAUCUGUCGGCCAGCAGGUCUUGAUCAGCUUGAAGCUGUUGCUACUUUUUCUUUAGACUAUUUGCUGUGGCCAUUAGCCUGCGUCUGAAACGCUCUUGAUCGACGGGAUCCUCAGGAACGACGAAUUCGCCGUCGUCGAGGCUUGCCUCGUCUCCGGAGGGAGGUAUGUAAUUAUCAUCCUCGACCUCUUCGUCUGCCGCUCUCUCGUGAGGGCUUGCUUCUGCAUCCUCCUGCAUUGAAUCUUGCUGGAGGGGGUUGUCUUCGGCACUUUCUGGGGUGUUGUUAUCUCCUGUGCCGGAAUAUCCAUUCUUGCUGUGGCGGGAUUUAGAGCGGCGCCGCUGACGUCGGCGCUUGGGCUGUUUCUUUAAGGAAUCUGCCUUUGCUGCUUCUUCGCCAUCCCCAUCUUUUGGGGUGUCCACCAUGUAUAUGUCGUAUGACGAGGUGGUCUUCCAGUGCCCUGUAGGCGUUGGUUCUUGAUCGUCUCCGGCAUCAUCGUCCAUACCGUCGAUGUCUUCGGAGUCGUAGUCUAGUACGUCGGUUAGAUCGUCGACAGUGGCUACAAAGUGGGUGGUGGGUGGGCUUUGAAUUUCUUCGUCAUGCGCAUCCCAACCAUCCUGGCCGUAGUCCGGCCAGGGCUCUCCGGAUAGCGAGAGAUGCUUUAGCGAUUUUAAGAUGUCGCCAAAGGGUGAGUACUGAAAGAUGUCCGCAGCGGUGAACUCCAUGGUCGGCGCCCAAUCAGAUUCGAUUGGCAGGGGCGCAGGAGGUUCAGAGUCCGGCAGGGAGUCCGACACCUCGGAGUCACGAGCUUUAUAAAGGACGAGGUCAGUGUUCGGCUCCAUCGCCGUGGAAGUUGCAGCUCCCGAGGCGGUGUCCAGCCACCCGUCCUCGAUCUGAGCAAUCGGCUCCGGACUAUGGGUCGGAGCAGAUUCGUGUGCGGCCUCCAAGGUACUGUCCGGCGGCAGAGUUAGGUCGUGCCCAUCGUGACAGUGCGGCACGCUCGGCUGCGGCUCCGAUCCAUCGAAGAUUAAGUCUCCGCGGAUAUCAGCCGGGAAGUUUAGGCUUCCAAACCUGACCUGACGGCCAGGGGCGUAGCUUUUGAUCUGCUCCAGAUGGCCAAGCGAAUUGGCCCGCAGUGCGAAGCCGCCGAAUACGAAGAUCUGUCCAGGGAGAAAAGUCUCGCCCAGGACUGCGUCGUUAUUGAUUGAAGAGGCCAUCAAGCCUAUCGGUGACGACACAGAGGAACUCUCAAUGAAAGCACCAAUGUCGGUGUCAAAACCGGCGGAUCUUGGGUAGGGGGUCCCGAACUGUGCAUCUAGGCGGAUGGUAACAGGAGAUAAGGGACACGAUGUUUUACCCAGGUUCGGGCCCUCUUGAUGGAGGUAAAACCCUACAUCCUGCUUGAUUGAUAUUGAUAAUGUGGGUAUUACAAGAGUAGAUCUACCACGAGAUCAAGGAGACUAAACCCUAGAAGCUAGCCUAUGGUAUGAUUGUUGUAAUGGUUGUUGUUGUGUCCUACGGACUAAAGCCAUCCGGUUUAUAUAGACACCGGAGAGGGCUAGGGUUACAUAGAGUCGGUUACAAUGUUAGGAGAUCUACAUAUCCGUAUCGCCAAGCUUGCCUUCCACGCCAAGGAAAGUCCCAUCCGAACACGGGACGAAGUCUUCAAUCUUGUAUCUUCAUAGUCUUGGAGUCCGGCUGACGAUGAUAGUCCGACCGAUGAUAGUCCGGCCGAUGAUGGUAGUCCGGCUAUCCGGACACCCCCUAGUCCAGGACUCCCUCACCCCCCCACAAGGGCCCAAGGCGCCUAGGGUUUGGGGAGGGGGCGCCCCACCUUGCUUGGGGGGAAAGUUUCCCCCUCUCCACCCCUUGGCCGCCCCCCUAGAUGGGAUCUAGGGCUGGCCACCGCCCCCUAGGGGUGGAAACCUAGGUGGGGGCGCAGCCCCCUCUCCCCCUAUAUAUAGUGGAGGCAUAGGAGCAGCCCAAGACAUGAGUUUCUUCUCCUGUUGGCGCAGCCCUACCUCUCUUUCUCCUCAUAUCUCGCGGUGCUUGGCGAAGCCCUGCUGGACUACCACGCUCCUCCAUCACCACCACGCCGUUGUGCUGCUGCUGGAUGGAGUCUUCCUCAACCUCUCCCUCUCACCUUGCUGGAUCAAGGCAUGGGAGACGUCACCGGGCUGUACGUGUGUUGAACGCGGAGGUGUCGUCCGUUCGGCACUAGGAUCUCCGGUGAUUUGGAUCACGACGAGUACGACUCCCUCAACCCCGUUCUCUUGAACGCUUCCGCUUAGCGAUCUACAAGGGUAUGUAGAUGCACUCUCCUUCCCCUCGUUGCUGGUUUCUCCAUAGAUAGAUCUUGGUGACACGUAGGAAAAUUUUGAAUUUCUGCUACGUUCCCCAACAAUUAGGUAUUCUUGGUUUGGUCCCGUUUUGUUUUGUCCCGUUUUUUCGUGUCUCAUCCCGUUUUUUCGUAUCUUCGACCGUCCGUCUUUCCUUUUCUCAUAAGUCAAGAAGUGCCUUCGUACGUCACGAUCGAUUGUUUUUGGCUUCUGGUCUGUUCACUCAUAGCUUGGCUCGGCCUCAGCAUGUUAAAUAAAACACGGCUGAACCAUGCGCUGUAAGCUGGCCCAGCUACGAGGCCUGCCGCGCGCUAUAAGCCAGCCCAACUACACUGGUAGCCCAUGCAAAAAAUAAGCGUUUCAUCAUGGGUUUCGAACACAUGACCCCUGGUCUAUCCAUAGAUGGUAUGUACCAUCUAUUGGAAAUAUGCCCUAGAGGCAAUAAUAAAAGUAUUAUUAUAUUUCAUUGUUCAUGAUAAUUGUCUUUUAUUCAUGCUAUAACUGUAUUAUCCGGAAAUCGUAAUACACGUGUGAAUACAUAGACCACAAUACGUCCCUAGUGAGCCUCUAGUUGACUAGCUCGUUGUGAUCAACAGAUAGUCAUGGUUUCCUGGCUAUGGACAUUGGAUGUCGUUGAUAACGGGAUCACAUCAUUAGGAGAAUGAUGUGAUGGACAAGACCCAAUCCUAAGCAUAGCACAAAGAUCGUGUAGUUCGUUUGCUAGAGCUUUGCCAAUGUCAAGUAUCUCUUCCUUCGACCAUGAGAUCGUGUAACUCCUGGAUACCGUAGGAGUGCUUUGGGUGUAUCAAACGUCACAACGUAACUGGGUGACUAUAAAGGUGCACUACGGGUAUCUCUGAAAGUGUCUAUUGGGUUGACACGGAUCGAGACUGGGAUUUGUCACUCCGUAUGACGGAGAGGUAUCUCUGGGCCCACUCGGUAAUGCAUCAUCAUAAUAAGCUCAAGGUGACCAAGGUGUUGGCUACGGGAUCAUGCAUUACGGUACGAGUAAAGUGACUUGCCGGUAACGAGACUGAACAAGGUAUUGGGAUAUCGACGAUCGAGUCUCGGGCAAGUAACGUACCGAUUGACAAAGGGAAUUGUAUACAGGGUUUGAUCGAAUCCUCGACAUCGUGGUUCAACCGAUGAAAUCAUCGAGGAGCAUGUGGGAUCCAACAUGGGUAUCCAGACCCCGCUGUUGGUUAUUGCCCGAGAGUCGUCUCGGUCAUGUCUGCGUGUCUCCCGAACCCGUAGGGUCUACACACUUAAGGUUCGGUGACGCUAGGGUUGUAUGAAUAUGAGUAUGCAGCAUACCGAAUGUUGUUCGGAGUCCCGGAUGAGAUCUCGGACGUCACGAGGAGUUUUCGGAAUGGUCCGGAGGUAAAGAAUAAUAUAUAGGAAGUGGUAUUUCGGCCAUCGGGAAAGUUUCGGGGUCACCCGAUAAUGUACCGGGACCACCGGAAGGGUCCCGGGGGGUCCACCGGGUGGGGCCACCCAUCCCGGAGGGCCCCAUGGGCUGACGUGGGAGGGGAGCCAGCCCAUAGUGGGCUGGUGCGCCCCCCUAGGCCCACCCCCUGCGCCUAGGGUUGAAACCCUAGGGUAGGGGGGCGCACCACAUGCCUUGGGGGGCACUCCUCCCCCCUUGGCCGCCGCCCCCUUGGGAGAUCCAAUCUCCCAGGGCCGGCGCCCCCCCUGGGGUCCUAUAUAAAGGAGGGCAGGGGGGAGGGCAGCCACACCCAUUGCCUUGGCGCCUCCCUCCCCCUGCUACACCUCGUCCUCCUCCCGUAGACGCUUAGCGAAGCCCUACUGGAGUUCUGCUGCAUCCACCACCACGCCGUCGUGCUGCUGGAUCAUCAUCAACCUCUCCUUCCCCCUUGCUGGAUCAAGAAGGAGGAGACGUCUCCCGUCCCGUACGUGUGUUGAACGUGGAGGUGCUGUCCGUUCAGCACUUGGACAUCGGUGAUCUGAAUCACGUCGAGUACGACUCCAUCAUCACCAUCCCCUUGCAAGCUUCCGCACGUGAUCUACAAGUGGUAUGUAGAUGCAAACUCACUCCCUUGACUCGUUGCUUAGAUGAACUCAUAGAUGGAUCUUGGUGAAACCGUAGGAAAAAUUUUAAUUUUCUGCAACGUUCCUCAACAGUGGCAUCAUGAGCUAGGUCUAUGCGUAGUUCUCUUUGCACGAGUAGAACACAAUUUUGUUGUGGGCGUAGAUCUUGUCAACUUGCUUGCCGCUACUAGUCUUAUCUUGCUUCAGCGGUAUUGUGGGAUGAAGCGGCCCGGACCAACCUUACACGUACGCUUACGUGAGACCGGUUCCACCGACUAACAUGCACUAGUUGCAUAAGGUGGCUGGCGGGUGUCUGUCUCUCCCACUUUAGUUGGAGCGGAUUCAAUGAAAAGGGUCCUUAUGAAGGGUAAAUAGAAGUUGACAAAAUCACGUUGUGGUUAUUCGUAGGUAAGAAAACGUUCUUGCUAGAACCCAAUUGCAGCCACGUAAAAGAUGCAACAACAAUUAGAGGACGUCUAACUUGUUUUUGCAGCGAUUGAUCAUGUGAUGUCAUAUGGCCAGAAGUUGUGAUGAAUGAUGAAUUGUGAUGUAUGAGAUCAUGUUCUUGUAAUAGGAUUCACGACUUGCAUGUCGAUGAGUAUGACAACCGGCAGGAGCCAUAGGAGUUGUCUUUAUUUUUUGUAUGACCUACGUGUCAUUGAAGAACGCCAUGUAACUUCCUUUACUUUAUUGCUAAACGCGUUAGCCAUAGAAGUAGAAGUAGUCGUUGGCGUGACAACUUCAUGAAGACACGAUGAUGGAGAUCAUGAUGAUGGAGAUCAUGGUGUCAUGCCGGUGACAAGAUGAUCAUGGAGCCCCGAAGAUGGAGAUCAAUGGAGCUAUAUGAUAUUGGCCAUAUCAUGUCACUAAUAUAUAAUUGCAUGUGAUGUUUAUUAUGUUUAUGCAUCUUGUUUACUUAGGACGACGGUAGUAAAUAAGAUGAUCCCUUACAACAAUUUCAAGAAGUGUUCUCCCCUAACUGUGCACCGUUGCUACAGUUCGUCGCUUCUAAGCACCACGUGAUGAUCGGGUGUGAUGGAUUCUUACGUUCACAUACAACGGGCGUAAGACAGUUUUACACAGCGAAAACACUUAGGGUUAACUUGACGAGCCUAGCAUGUACAUACAUGGCCUCGGAACACGGAGACCGAAAGGUCGAACACGAGUCGUAUGGAAGAUACGAUCAACAUGAAGAUGUUCACCGACGAUGACUAGUCCGUCUCACGUGAUGAUCGGACACGGGCUAGUCGACUCGGAUCGUGUAACACUUAGAUGACUAGAGGGAUGUCUAAUCUGAGUGGGAGUUCAUAAUUUGAUUAGAACUUAAUUAUCAUGAACUUAGUCUAAAAACCUUUGCAAAUAUGUCUUGUAGAUCAAAUGGCCAACGCUCAUGUCAACAUGAACUUCAACGCGUUCCUAGAGAAAACCAAGCUGAAAGAUGAUGGCAGCAACUAUACGGACUGGGUCCGGAACCUGAGGAUCAUCCUCAUAGCUGCCAGGAAACAAUAUGUCCUAGAAGGACCGCUAGGUGACGCUCCCGUCCCAGAGAACCAAGACAUUAUGAAUGCUUGGCAAACUCGUGCUGAUGAUUACUCCCUCGUUCAGUGCGGCAUGCUUUACAGCUUAGAACCGGGGCUCCAAAAGCGUUUUGAGCAUCACGGAGCAUAUGAGAUGUUCGAGGAGCUGAGACUAGUUUUUCAAGCUCACGCCCGGGUCGAGAGAUAUGACGUCUCCGACAAGUUCUACAGUUGUAAGAUGGAGGAAAAUAGUUCUGUCAGUGAGCACAUACUCAAGAUGUCUGGGUUGCACAACCGUAUGACCCAGCUGAAUAUUAACCUCCCUGAUGAGGCGGUCAUUGACAGAAUCCUCCAGUCGCUCCCACCAAGCUACAAGAGCUUUGUGAUGAACUACAACAUGCAGGGGAUGGAAAAGACCAUUCCUGAAGUGUUUUCUAUGCUGAAGUCAACAGAGGCUGAAAUCAAGAAAGAACAUCAAGUGUUGAUGGUCAAUAAGACCACUAAGUUCAAGAAGGGCAAGGGCAAGAAGAACUUCAAGAAGGACGGCAAGGAUGUUGCCGCGCCCGGUAAGCCAGUUGCCGGGAAGAAGUCAAAGAAUGGACCCAAGCCUGAGACUGAGUGUUUUUAUUGCAAGGGGAAGGGUCACUGGAAGCGGAACUGCCCCAAAUACUUAGCGGAUAAGAAGGCCGGCAACACCAAAGGUAUAUUUGAUAUACAUGUAAUUGAUGUAUACCUUACCAGUACUCGUAGUAACUCCUGGGUAUUUGAUACCGGUGCCGUUGCUCAUAUUUGUAACUCACAGCAGGAGCUGCGGAAUAAACGGAGACUGGCGAAGGACGAGGUGACGAUGCGCGUCGGGAAUGGUUCCAGAGUCGAUGUGAUCGCCGUCGGCACGCUACCUCUACAUUUACCUACGGGAUUAGUUUUGAACCUUAAUAAUUGUUAUUUAGUGCCAAGUUUGAGCAUGAACAUUGUAUCUGGAUCUCGUUUAAUACGAGAUGGCUACUCAUUUAAGUCUGAGAAUAAUGGUUGUUCAAUUUAUAUGAGAGAUAUGUUUUAUGGUCAUGCUCCGAUGGUCAAUGGUUUAUUCUUAAUGAAUCUCGAGCGUAAUAUUACACAUGUUCAUAGUGUGGAUGCCAAAAGAUGUAAAGUUGAUAACGAUAGUCCCACAUACUUGUGGCACUGCCGCCUUGGUCACAUUGGUGUCAAGCGCAUGAAGAAGCUCCAUGCUGAUGGACUUUUGGAGUCUCUUGAUUAUGAAUCGUUUGACACAUGUGAACCAUGCCUCAUGGGCAAAAUGACCAAGACUCCGUUCUCCGGAACAAUGGAGCGAGCAACCAACUUGUUGGAAAUCAUACAUACCGAUGUGUGCGGUCCAAUGAGCGUUGAGGCUCGCGGAGGAUAUCGUUAUGAUUCUCACUCUCACUGAUGACUUAAGUAGAUAUGGGUAUGUCUACUUAAUGAAACACAAGUCUGAGACCUUUGAAAAGUUCAAGGAAUUUCAGAAUGAGGUGGAGAAUCAACGUGACCGAAAGAUAAAGUUCCUACGAUCAGAUCGUGGAGGAGAAUAUUUAAGUCACGAAUUUGGCACACACUUAAGGAAAUGUGGAAUCGUUUCACAACUCACGCCGCCUGGAACACCUCAGUGAAACGGUGUGUCCGAACGUCGUAAUCGCACUCUAUUGGAUAUGGUGCGGUCUAUGAUGUCUCUUACCGAUUUACCGCUAUCAUUUUGGGGAUACGCUCUAGAGACAGCUACAUUCACUUUAAAUAGGGCACCGUCUAAAUCCGUUGAGACGACACCGUAUGAAUUAUGGUUUGGGAAGAAACCUAAGCUGUCGUUUCUAAAAGUUUGGGGAUGCGAUGCUUAUGUCAAGAAACUUCAACCUGAAAAGCUCGAACCCAAGUCGGAAAAAUGCGUCUUCAUAGGAUACCCUAAGGAAACUGUUGGGUAUACCUUCUACUUAAGAUCCGAGGGCAAGAUCUUUGUUGCCAAGAACGGAUGCUUUCUGGAAAAAGAGUUUCUCUCGAAAGAAGUAAGUGGGAGGAAAGUAGAACUCGAUGAAGUACUACCUCUCGAACAGGAAAGUGGUGCAGCUCAGGAAAAUGUUCCUGUGAUGCCCACACCAACUGAAGAGGAAACCAAUGAUGAUGAUCAAGGUACUUCGGAUCAAGUUGCUACUGAACUUCGUAGGUCCACAAGGACACGUUCCGCACCGGAGUGGUACGGCAACCCUGUCCUGGAAAUCAUGUUGUUAGACAACGGUGAACCUUCGAACUAUGAAGAAGCGAUGGCGGGCCCAGAUUCCAACAAAUGGCUUGAAGCCAUGAAAUCCGAGAUAGAAUCCAUGUAUGAAAACAAAGUAUGGACUUUGACAGACUUGCCCGAUGAUCGGCGAGCGAUAGAAAACAAAUGGAUCUUUAAGAAGAAGACGGACGCGGAUGGUAAUGUUACCAUCUACAAAGCACGACUUGUCGCUAAGGGUUAUCGACAAGUUCAAGGGAUUGACUACGACGAGACAUUCUCUCCCGUAGCAAAGCUAAAGUCCGUCUGAAUCAUGUUAGCAAUUGCCGCAUACUAUGAUUAUGAGAUAUGGCAGAUGGACGUCAAAACGGCAUUCCUUAACCGGCAUCUUAAGGAAGAACUGUAUAUGAUGCAGCCGGAAGGUUUUGUCGAUCCUAAGAACGCUAACAAAGUAUGCAAGCUCCAACGAUCCAUUUAUGGGCUGGUGCAAGCAUCUCGGAGUUGGAAUAUUCGCUUUGAUGAGAUGAUCAAAGCGUUUGGGUUUAUGCAGACUUAUGGAGAAGCCUGCGUUUACAAGAAAGUGAGUGGGAGCUCUGUAGCAUUUCUCAUAUUAUAUGUAGAUGACAUACUCUUGAUGGGAAAUAAUAUAGAAUUUCUGGACAUCAUUAAGGCCUACUUGAACAAAUGUUUUUCAAUGAAGGACCUUGGAGAAGCUGCUUAUAUAUUAGGCAUCAAGAUCUAUAGAGAUAGAUCGAGACGCCUCAUAGGUCUUUCACAAAGCACAUACCUUGAUAAGAUUUUGAAAAGGUUCAAAAUGGAUCAGUCCAAGAAAGGGUUCUUGCCUAUGUUACAAGGUGUGAGAUUGAGCUCGGCUCAGUCACCGACCACGGCAAAAGAUAAAGAAGAGAUGAGUGUCAUCCCCUAUGCUUCAGCCAUAGGAUCUAUUAUGUAUGCCAUGCUGUGUACCAGACCUGAUGUAAACCUUGCCGUGAGUUUGGUAGCAAGAUAUCAGAGUAAUCCCGGCAAGGAACACUGGACAACGGUCAAGAAUAUCCUGAAGUACCUGAAAAGGACAAAGGACAUGUUUCUCAUUUAUGGAGGAGACGAAGAGCUCGUCGUAAAGGGUUACGUCGACGCUAGCUUCGACUCAGAUCCGGAUGACUCUAAGUCACAAACCGGAUACGUGUAUAUGUUGAAUGGUGGAGCAGUAAGCUGGUGCAGCUACAAGCAGAGCGUCGUGGCGGGAUCUACGUGUGAAGCGGAGUACAUGGCAGCCUCGGAGGCAGCGCAUGAAGCGAUUUGGGUGAAGGAGUUCAUCACCGACCUAGGAGUCAUACCCAAUGCGUCGGGGCCAAUCAAACUCUUCUAUGACAACACUGGAGCUAUUGCCCUUGCCAAGGAGCCCAGGUUUCACAAGAAGACCAGGCACAUCAAGCGUCGUUUCAACUCCAUCCGUGAAAAUGUUCAAGAUGGAGACAUAGAAAUUUGCAAAGUACAUACGGAUCUGAAUGUCGCAGAUCCGUUGACUAAACCUCUCUCGCGAGCAAAACAUGAUCAACACCAGAACUCUAUGGGUGUUCGAUUCAUCACAAUGUAACUAGAUUGGUGACUCUAGUGCAAGUGGGAGACUGUUGGAAAUAUGCCCUAGAGGCAAUAAUAAAAGUAUUAUUAUAUUUCAUUGUUCAUGAUAAUUGUCUUUUAUUCAUGCUAUAACUGUAUUAUCCGGAAAUCGUAAUACACGUGUGAAUACAUAGACCACAAUACGUCCCUAGUGAGCCUCUAGUUGACUAGCUCGUUGUGAUCAACAGAUAGUCAUGGUUUCCUGGCUAUGGACAUUGGAUGUCGUUGAUAACGGGAUCACAUCAUUAGGAGAAUGAUGUGAUGGACAAGACCCAAUCCUAAGCAUAGCACAAAGAUCGUGUAGUUCGUUUGCUAGAGCUUUGCCAAUGUCAAGUAUCUCUUCCUUCGACCAUGAGAUCGUGUAACUCCUGGAUACCGUAGGAGUGCUUUGGGUGUAUCAAACGUCACAACGUAACUGGGUGACUAUAAAGGUGCACUACGGGUAUCUCCGAAAGUGUCUAUUGGGUUGACACGGAUCGAGACUGGGAUUUGUCACUCUGUAUGGCGGAGAGGUAUCUCUGGGCCCACUUGGUAAUGCAUCAUCAUAAUAAGCUCAAGGUGACCAAGGUGUUGGCUAUGGGAUCAUGCAUUAUGGUACGAGUAAAGUGACUUGCCGGUAACGAGACUGAACAAGGUAUUGGGAUACCGACGAUCGAGUCUCGGGCAAGUAACGUACCGAUUGACAAAGGGAAUUGUAUACAGGGUUUGAUCGAAUCCUCGACAUCGUGGUUCAACUGAUUAAAUCAUCGAGGAGCAUGUGGGAGCCAACAUGGGUAUCCAGACCCCGCUGUUGGUUAUUGCCCGAGAGUCGUCUCGGUCAUGUCUGCGUGUCUCCCGAACCCGUAGGGUCUACACACUUAAGGUUCGGUGACGCUAGGGUUGUAUGAAUAUGAGUAUGCAGCAUACCGAAUGUUGUUCGGAGUCCCGGAUGAGAUCCCGGACGUCACGAGGAGUUUUCGAAAUGGUCCGGAGGUAAAGAAUAAUAUAUAUGAAGUGGUAUUUCGGCCAUUGGGAAAGUUUCGGGGUCACCCGGUAAUGUACCGGGACCACCGGGAGGGUCCCGGGGGGGUCCACCAGGUGGGGCCACCCAUCCCGGAGGGCCCCAUGGGCUGACGUGGGAGGGGAGCCAGCCCAUAGUGGGCUGGUGCGGCCCCCUAGGCCCACCCCCUGCGCCUAGGGUUGAAACCCUAGGGUAGGGGGGGCGCACCACAUGCCUUGGGGGGCACUCCUCCCCCCUUGGCCGCCGCCCCCUUGGGAGAUCCAAUCUCCCAGGGCCGGCGCCCCCCCUGGGGUCCUAUAUAAAGGAGGGCAGGGGGGAGGGCAGCCACACCCAUUGCCUUGGCGCCUCCCUCCCCCUGCUACACCUCGUCCUCCUCCCGUAGACGCUUAGCGAAGCCCUGCUGGAGUUCUGCUGCAUCCACCACCACGCCGUCGUGCUGCUGGAUCAUCAUCAACCUCUCCUUCCCCCUUGCUGGAUCAAGAAGGAGGAGACGUCUCCCGUCCCGUACGUGUGUUGAAUGCGGAGGUGCUGUCCGUUCAGCACUUGGACAUCAGUGAUCUGAAUCACGUCGAGUAUGACUCCAUCAUCACCAUCCCCUUGCAAGCUUCCGCACGUGAUCUACAAGUGGUAUGUAGAUGCAAACUCACUCCCUUGACUCGUUCCUUAGAUGAACUCAUAGAUGGAUCUUGGUGAAACCGUAGGAAAAAUUUUAAUUUUCUGCAACGUUCCCCAACACCAUCUAGCUACGUCACUUUUGUGUUAGAUAGAGACGCAAAGGUUGGUUUUGUUUAGUCCCACCUCGGUUUCUUGCACACAAUUCAACCAGUUUAUAUACAUUUUUAAGUUUCCUGGUUAUCAAGGAGUUGUCCUAGGAAAUAAAGAAAGGAGAAUUCAAGGAAGGAAAGGAAAUUGAGAAACAGAAAAUAAUCGAGGGAAAAAUUAAGCACAUACAUGUUGAGGCCGUGCUAGCUGGGGAUGAGCUUGCCCAGCUAAAUAUGAGUUGUCAUUCAAAAAAAGAAUGAAGCAAACUGACUCCACAAGGUCACAGUAGUAUCUUUGGCAUAGGGGGCUAAACCUGAAUUUUUUUUGUGAGCUUUUGAUGCCCGAGAAAACCACAGUUAUUGAAAUUCUAAUGCAAGGCCUGCUUCCUGCUGCGCUGGGGAUUUUUCUAUGUCCAUGUUCAGUUGUCGGUGAAACUAAGAAUGUAAACGAAAAAAUAAAUAUCAUAUAUGACUUUGUUUUUAACAAGAACCGUGGUGAGCCCCAAACACUAUUUAGUACAAUAUUUUUAGAAUCUAGAAAAUAUCCAAAUAUCCCCACUCGAACAAGCCCAAAAAUAUAAUAGUUGUUGCGAAGGUAUGCUAUCUCUCUCCGAAUUUUGUGAGCGGUAUUGGCUAAACUUUACCGAGUUCCUAAUAUCUUUUAAGGAGAAGUUCGUAAUUUUAUUUUGUUUCAUGGAGGAAAGUAUGUUGAUGUAGGUAAAGAAAUAUUCUAUAAGAUUAGCAUGUCCUAUUUCGAUAAUUUUGGAUCUUAAAAAAAUUUGACUAAAAUUUGCAUGAACAACGAAUGUAUUUUUGCACAUAUUAUUAUAAAUACACUUGAAUAUAAACUGAUUUUCCCAUUGCAACGCACGGGGCAUUUGUGCUAGUAACAUUAAAAGGUUCAUCAUCUACUUCCUCAUGACGUUGACGGUUUAAAUGGCUUCUUUUGAGUAGGGUAUUUCGAUGCCCAGGCUCAUCUGCACCUGAUUAGAAAAAAAUUCGUAAAAAACUCAAAACAAAUUCAAAAAAUUCCAUUUUUUUGUGCGGUAGACAAUUUGAUGCGUAAGGCCCCUUCAAAUUUCAAUUCAUUUGAACAUCUGAGCAGCUCUCAGCAAAAAAGACAAAUCGGGCUAAAACAGUACAUGAACAGUAAACAUUUUUAUAGACCCCCAAUUUGUCUUUUUUGCUAAGAGCUCCUGAGAUGUCCAAAUAAUCUGACAAUUGAAGCGGACCUCACGCAUCAAAUUGUCUGCCGCACAAUUUUUUUUUUUGCAAUUUUCCUAGUAUUUGUUUUGAUUUUUUUGUCAGCGCGGGUGUAGAUGAGCUCGAGUGCAGAGAUGGAUUUUCGCUUUUCUUUUCUCUAGCAUUAUUAGCAACAAGCAACUAAGAACUGCCUGCGGAGCACAAAAUUCACGUGCCGUUUUUCUUCCAUCCGUCCGAAUUUCUUCUCGUGUCAUGUUAUAAUUCUUCCAUUCAGAUUUAGUUCAGUUUGAACUAAUUUGCUGCUUUUGCGGGCUUAUGCGGGAUGCCCGCUUGCAUCCCUAGGUACCAACCUAGAACACGUAGCGCGAGGGACUAGCGUUAACUCGUUUGUAAACAUCAGCUGAUCACCACUGCUGCUAAAGCGUGCCACGAACAGCCAGGCAAACAGCACAGCACCCGGCAGUCCGGCACCUCCCCGUGUGCAUGUCCGCGAACAGGAGAGGAUAAACUUUUGCCUGACCGUGCACAAUCCCCUGAAUGUUCCCCGGAGGCCGCCGCAGCAGCAGCAACCACGCUGGAUCACGUUCACAGGUCCGGCCGCGCCGGCGUCCCAUGGCUGAAACCUGAACCGAACUGCUGCGCGCAAGACGCGCCGGAGCCCCGGCGGAGAGGCGGCCCGGAUCCCGCCGGGCGGGCGGGGGCUCCAUCCGUUUCACUCCACACCCUCGGCGUGUGAUUAAAACGGCAAGCUGACUUUGGGAGCUCGGAUCGGAAGCACCGGGGCGUGGGCGCGUGGCCCGCCAUGCGCUAGGCCAGCGCACGGCUUUCUACUUUAUCAUCAGCGCGUCUCCUUAAAAUUCACCCUUGGUUACCGUCCCGAGGUAGAAGCAGAACGCAGCGCGUCGUCGUGCAGGACAAGCAUCGCCUGCGCCUUGGUCCCGAACUCCGGUUCAUCAUUAUCCACCGCGGCCGGCCGGGCUGCCAUUCCUCCUCCCCCGGUCCCCCCUAUCCAGGGACCGUUCGCAACGUAACGUAACGCGGAUUAUUUUUAGGGCGCUGAUAGGCGCCGGUGCGCCGGCCGAAAGUUUCGGCCGGUCUAGCCCAGGCCGUUGGAUGUGAGCCGCGCAGGUCGUUGGAUCCAGGAAAAAAAAA